GAUGAAGAACGUAGCGAAAUGCGAUAAGUAGUGUGAAUUGCAGAAUUCAGUGAAUCAUCGAAUCUUUGAACGCACAUUGCGCCCGCCAGUAUUCUGGCGGGCAUGCCUGUCCGAGCGUCAUUUCAACCCUCGAGCCCCCCCGGGGGCUCGGCGUUGGGGAUCGGCCCCUCACCGGGCCGGCCCCGAAAUACAGUGGCGGUCUCGCCGCAGCCUCCCCUGCGCAGUAGUUUGCACACUCGCACCGGGAGCGCGGCGCGUCCACGGCCGUAAAACAACCCAAACUUCUGAAAGGUUGACCUCGGAUCAGGUAGGAAUACCCGCUGAACUUAAGCAUAUCAAUAAGCGGAGGA
rnacentral:misc_RNA from 1 species